GACGAACGCUGGCGGCGUGCCUAAUACAUGCAAGUAGAACGCUGAAGAGAGGAGCUUGCUCUUCUUGGAUGAGUUGCGAACGGGUGAGUAACGCGUAGGUAACCUGCCUUGUAGCGGGGGAUAACUAUUGGAAACGAUAGCUAAUACCGCAUAACAAUGGAUGACACAUGUCAUUUAUUUGAAAGGGGCAAUUGCUCCACUACAAGAUGGACCUGCGUUGUAUUAGCUAGUAGGUGAGGUAAUGGCUCACCUAGGCGACGAUACAUAGCCGACCUGAGAGGGUGAUCGGCCACACUGGGACUGAGACACGGCCCAGACUCCUACGGGAGGCAGCAGUAGGGAAUCUUCGGCAAUGGGGGCAACCCUGACCGAGCAACGCCGCGUGAGUGAAGAAGGGUUUCGGACCGUAAAGCUCUGUUGUAAGUCAAGAACGGGUGUGAGAGUGGAAAGUUCACACUGUGACGGUAGCUUACCAGAAAGAGACGGCUAACUACGUG
rnacentral:rRNA from 1 species